rnacentral:lncRNA from 1 species
CAGUGGUGUGAGUGAUCCUUUGACCUAUGGUGUUAUUGGCUAUUCGCAGUGAGACUACUAAGUUUGACUGUACGUUCUCUUAGUCUCUAGCCAUUCAGAUCCUUGCUAUAUAUGUUGACAUCAGUAGGUUCAGGUUCAUGUUUGGAGUAGGAUGCACCUAAAAAGAAUCUAUCAACCUUGAUAGAAAAGAAGAAGUCCUAUGCGAUUUGCAAGACUAAAUUCAAAAAGUCUUUGACCAAAGCAAAUGUGAAUGUUCGCAAAGAGUUUUCACAAAAUUUACAAAUGA